rnacentral:lncRNA from 1 species
AUGUUUGCGAACAGGUGUGCUGUAGCUGUGAUGUCGGAGAAAGGCGGGGCAAAGCCCAAUGAGGGGCUCAUGGUGAUGCAGGAGCUGGAGGACAGGCUGAACGAACACAUUGACAAACUGGAGCACAUCCGCCUGAGUGCCACCGAGCUCAAGGAUAAUUUGUCUGGGAACCAUGCUGACCUCAAGCAGUCCAUUUCUGACCACCUUGACUGGCUGAGUCAACUCGGUGAACGUGUGGAAACGCUUCAGAUGAACACUGCUGUCUUUGUGCAGGUGAGAUUGGUGAAUCUCCCAAGAAUUGUGGGACUAUUAAAUAUCAUAACUGUGUGCUGCGCAUCCAGUACACACAAUAAGUAACAUUUCAUUUAGUUCUUUUGAUUCUUGCAACCGCUGUGUACAUUUCCAGAUGAACACCAAGCCUCGAACCUGGGGCAGCAAGCAAGGGUCCCGGCGCUCUGCUCACGUGGGGCCCCUUCAACCAGCCCCUGGUGAUGAUGCUCAGUCUGAGUUUGGGUGGUCGCCUGUGCGUACGAGACGCAGCAGCGAUGCGGCGUCUGAGAUGUCCUGUGCCUGGUAACCAAGUGUGUGACUGAGCAUUUGAAAAAACAGGUCACACACUGGAGCAGGGCUGCCCAAGAGUGUAAAAAUAAAGUACAGUUACAGUAUUGUGAAAGAGUAUUU